ensembl:lncRNA
GAAAUGGAUGACAAGGUUAUCAGUCCAGAGAAGGUGGAGGAGGCAAAACUAAAGGCUCGCUACCCGAACUUGGGACACAAACCCGGAGGUUCUGAUCUGCUACGCAAACGAUUGACCAAAGGGGUGAGUCCACACUACACAGUUAACCCUGUCCCUUUCUCUCAGGCAGUGUUUACAGAGUUUAACCCGUUGUCUCUCUGCAGCAAAAGUACUUUGAUUCGGGGGACUACAACAUGGCCAAGGCCAAGGUGAAGAACAAGCAGCUUCCUGCAGCCACGUCAGAGAAGAGUGGAGGGGAGAUCACAGGAGACCACAUCCCCACACCCCAGGACCUGCCCCAGAGGAAACCCUCCCUGGUGGCCAGCAAACUGGCUGGCUGAUAAACACACACACACUGUCCUGUCUUUAAACCCUGUCUAUACUCCUAACAGUUACCCAGCUACCCUGGUCCCUGUCUCUCUACCCAACCCCCACCCCACCCUGUGUACUCUCCAGCCCCAGAGAAACUCCUCCCUUGGUGGCCAGCUAAUUGGCACACACCCUACUCAGCUAACCCUAUCUCUGGUUGUGUUCCUCACGCUCAGCACCUCGGGCCACUCAUCCCCGCUUUCCCCCGUUCUCUACUCAGAUGUUAUGGCUCCCUAAUCCCCUCUCCCACCUCCCCUACCCGCUCUGCCCCCUCCUCCCCCCUCUUUUUUCUUAUUUUCUACUUUUGUGUAUAAAUACACUGAAAGGAAGGUUGGGCCUACUACUACAGGAGGUGACUGUAAAGGUGGUUGUAACUCUGUCCCCUAUUACAUCCUAUCCCCUCAAUAACCCUAUGGAAUGCAGUGUAUGGGGAAUAGGGUGCCAUUUGGGAUGCACAUCUGAAGGGUCUAAUACUGGAGCUGCAGAGGGCCUCAAAUGACACCAUAUUCCAUAGGUAGUACAUUAGCAUCAACCAGAGCCCUAUGUGGCUGCCUUAUGAGCCUCUGGCCCAAACGAGUGCACUACUUAGGGAAUAGUUUCCUGUUUGGGACCUGGCCAGACAUAUGGUCUCUGGUUUAGAGGGUAGAAUGUCAUUGCCAGUCCUUUUAGCUGAUCAUGUACAUAUUUCUAAUUGUGUUGGAGAGGAAAACAGAAAUCAGGAUUUUAGAAUGUUUUACUGUAAAAUAUGAUCCUUUACCAAAUGUUGUUAGCAUUGUCCUCAUAUAAAUUAUGCUGUAUUGUGCUUGAGUGAUGGAUUAUGAAUAUAACCAUGGUAAUGACUGACCACAAUCUCUCUGCAGUUGGUUUGUUCUGUUUAAAGACUACAUGUAUGCAUACCUAAUGGCACACUAUUCUGUACAUAUGCAGUGUUUACACAGGCAGCCCAAUUCUGAUGGGUUUUUUUUUCUCACUGUUUUUGACUGAUCACAUCACCUAUGAAGAAGGAAUGUAAAAGGUCCAAUCGGAUUGGUUUGAAGACCAGUUAGUGGAAACAAUGUCACAGUUGGACUGCCUAUGCAAACAAAGAAAAAGUGCAUUAGUUUUGACCAGGGUCUGAAUUGGCACUGGUAGUUAUAAAAGUAGUACACUAUAUAGAGACUUGGGUGUCGUUAGGGUAGCAUACUAGAUCUCCAAUCACCCUACUCUUUAUAUGGUGCUCACCUUCUGAUUAUAACUGCAUAGGGUUGCCACCUAGGCCUUUAGUCAAAGAAUACAUUUUGAAGUACUUUUCACUUUUAACCAGGGCCAAAACAUUAUUCUGGUUAUUUCAAAAGGACAGGAAAACAUGGCCGUAGGGUAAGGUUUAGACCAGACUGGAGAUGAGAUGUAGAUGGAACAGCCUGAAGAUGUGAUGGGGGUGUUCUAAAAGACAUUAGCUUUACAUAAGAUGGUCUCAUACGCCAUCCCUCCUUUCUGUCUUUCACUCACACACACUGCUACCACUAGAACUCUACCAUAUGUACUCUCACACAUGAUUACUCUCCCACUCAUGUCACAUACUCCCUCUCACAAACUAAUUACCUAGUUCUUCAAAGCUAUGAUCACACGUAUUGCUCGGGUUGGGUUGAAUUUCAAGUCACUUGUGGUCCCAACGCCAAGUUACAAUUGAAUGAGAUUUGGGAGUACACCAGAUACCAUAGUAAUGAUGUGAGUGUGGGCGGUGGUGUUGGCUGUUGACUGGCUGUGUCUCCUUAUCCUGAGGUUCUGUAGUAAACCAAGGUUACACCUGCUGUAGUUUUCCCAGAUGCUUGGAACCAUCACGUUUAUUAUAUAAAGCUGUUUUUACGUCUCAAAUUUAAGAUGAUUUAACCAUCUGAAAUUAGACAUUUGACUAGCCACUACUGAAGUCGAAAUAAAACUAAUUAGCUGUUAGGUUACUAGCAUGCUCAUUUGUAAACAUUGUCCCUAGUUUUCUCAGCUCCAACAAGUGAGAAGAUGUCAAAUAACCGUUCUUGAGAGCAAAUUAAUUAGCUUGAGAGCAAAUUAAUCAGACUUUACCAUUCAGAAACAGAUCACACAGCCAGGGAUUUAUUCCUGAUUUCAAACUAAGGUUUGAAAAGUGGGGACAAUAAAAUUGAUGCUAUGUGACUUUGUACCUGCUCAAACUAAAUUAAAAAGCCUGAUUUGAUUAAGAUAUGGGGACAUUUUUGUCUCUUCCAUCUGCCGGUGUGAGCCAGGCUUAGUUCUACAAUCUGUACACAACCCAGUCCACUAGUGGAGCUGAAGGUGUGGUCAUCAAGUGUCUGAAGCUGAAGCACUACAACAGGAACCUGGCUCCUGGAAUGCUUACGAAUCUGCAGGGGUUUAUUUAUUAAGCCAACAAAACCUUGUAGUUACAAAUCAUUAAAACUGGGAGGGUCCUGCCUGCAUCCAUCCAAUGGGAACUGUUUGGCCAAAACAUUUAGUAGUAUACAAUGUAAUUGGUCCCGUUCCUCACCUCACUUGAUCUUGAUCAGUUUGGUUUCGGCUAAAAUUCAACACCAGGGGUGCAUUCAGAUAGAAAUAGCAUGUAUUGAUCGAACAUGCCUCUGACAUGAAUGACAAGUAAUUGGAUCAGCUCUGUUCACAACAUUUCUAACUGCAGGACGUUUAAAUGACCGUAGCCCUCCAGCACCAGGGUUGACUACCCCUGCACUACAUUGUUGAGGUUUGAGGUGUGCAUGUAUGCGACUGUCCCCAUACAACCCUCCUGCUGUCACUUUGUGCCAUUUUGUUAUGUAAAUAAAAUAGUUUUGCACAAAUA